AGUUUGUCAAACAGAUCAAUGGCUAAAAGCAUCAAGUGGAGCAAAAUUAAAAUUCAGUUUGGGGAAUUCCAGUCUUUAAAAUCAUCAAAGGUAGGUUUUUUGUCUUGUUUUGUUUGUUUUUUUAGCUAUAUACCAUUUGUGUUCAAAGAUUAAUCUUUUGUUUAUUCUAAUUUUGUUUACUUUACAUACCAUAUUAUGUUUGUCUUUAUAUCUAAGCUAUUCUAGUAAAGCUCUUUAUUUUAUGUUAAUGGAAUUGUGCAGUCAUCAAUAAAAAAAACCGUUUUACUUAGGUAAAGUGUUUUCAUUGUUAUCAAUAACAUAAUGGAACCCGCAGUCUUACAAAACUCAGGUUGAAGCUUCUUCAUUAACAAAAAACUACUAAUCAUGCUAAUAGUAAACAUUAAUGUAUAUAUUUUUAUUAAUAAUUAUCGUAUUACAAUAUGUGCUUCGUCAUUAUGGUUUUAUUUAUUUUUAAUGCUUCUAGAAACAAAUUGAAAGUGGCUCAAAUUUAAAAUAUCUUUUCAGGACAUACAAUUUAUAUUUAUUAUAUAAUAUAAUCUGAUUUUUUUCAGAGUUAAAUAUACUGCAAGAGUGAAAAGAUGUCACUUGGAAAUACAUAUCUGAUAAAGACCUCUCCUGCUUAAAAUUUACCGCUGAAAGAUCCCGAGAUGGUGGACGAAUGAUGACAUGUAAUAAGGACAAAAAG
rnacentral:lncRNA from 1 species